rnacentral:rRNA from 1 species
AUUGAACGCUGGCGGUAUGCUUAACACAUGCAAGUCGAACGGCAGCAUGGUAUGUAGCAAUACAUACUGAUGGCGAGUGGCGGACGGGUGAGUAACACGUAGGAAUCUACCCUAAAGCGGGGGAUAACCCGAGGAAACUCGGGCUAAUACCGCAUAAUUUCUGAGGAAAAAAGCUAGGUUUACCUGGCACUUUAGGAGGAGCCUGCGUCUGAUUAGCUAGUUGGUGGGGUAAAGGCCUACCAAGGCGUCGAUCAGUAGGUGGUCUGAGAGGAUGAUCACCCACACUGUGACUGAGACACUGCCCAGGCUCCUACGGGAGGCAGCAGUGGGGAAUAUUGGACAAUGGGGGCAACCCUGAUUCAGCAAUACCGCGUGUGUGAAGAAGGCCUUCGGGUUGUAAAGCACUUUAGGCUGGGAAGAAGGUUAUUAGUUUAAGAGAUGAAUAACUUGACGGUACCAGCAGAAUAAGCACCGGCUAACUCUGUGCCAGCCGCCGCCGUAA